GUAUCUUUUGGUGCUCGCUUCUACUAAAAUUGGAACGAUACAGAGAAGAUUAGCAUGACCCCUGCGCAAGGAUGACACGCAAAUUUGUGAAGCGUUCCAUGUUUUU